GUGUCACCAUAUCGCCCUGUGAUGGAGUCACGUGGCCGCGUCAACACGUUGUGACGCGAGCUGUGAUGUCACUGUGAUGUGUGACAUCAUACCACUGCAUGGAACCAUCCUAUUACAGCCCAACCACGCCAUUCCAUCGUUCCCCUCGCCAGCGGCCCGGGCACAAUGCCCCUGGCUCAGGCUGUUACUCCGCUGUCUUGCAGCUAAUGUCCUUGCAUCAUGGCCUGGGUGUGAUGUCAUCCCGCUGCCUCAAAACAUGUAAACUUUGCCUUGUCACUCCAGUGUAUCAAGACAGAUCCGAAUCUUGUCCCACAGUGACCUAAUGUGACGACAUCUCCCCAGAAGCCACCACCUCAGGUUGUGAUAUAAUGUCAUCUGCUUGUCACCAAAUCAUCAGCAUCUCAGACCACACGGCUGCCAUAUGCUGAUGUCCUGUGAGCUCUGAAAGACUUUUCAGGAUCCAUUACUGGACAUGGGGUCACCUGAUAAAACCAGGGCAAAUCUAGAAAAUGCAGGCCACUGGCCAGAUGAGGAUAACUCUGCCCUUUGUAAUGCUUUUCUCCCCUGGGUCAGUUCCUCUGAACACUAAAUGCAGAAUAACUUUCCGGGUUCACCAGUACACAGAAUGAUUGCGGCAUGGGAUAGGAUGUGUUCUCCAGGACAUGAUGGUAUCCCAAGGCAAUACUGAUGCAGAUUAACUGACCCUGCUGCUAAGAGGGCUAAAGAAUGCAGGAACAGUCCAUGUGCUCAGUUUCCAUUAUAAAAUUAUCGUGGCUUCACACCUCAGUGGGUAGUGAUACCACAUGCAUGUGUCCAAGCCCUCACUUCUGGCUGUCUCUUUCGUUUCUUUCACAUGGUUGGGCUGUCAUAACUGCAGUGCUUAUGUGUGUGCCUGCCCUCUACUAGAUGUAAUGAGAACUGCUCAGCUGUGUUUCACAGGCCUUGUACUGCCACACAAAUUCUCCUUUAGCGUCAGUGCUAGGAGCAGUAGGGUCUGAGUUUUGCCCCCACUGCCUCUGCAAAGUUUGACUGGACAUGGAAUGCAGCAUAGUGGCAACCAGGAUCUCCUAGGUGGCCAUGGAUGGUAUAUGCCUGAAGCAGCCUCCUAGCUGGUAUCUGCCACCGGCCACACUCCUUUCUGCUCCUCCUUCAACAAACUCCUGCAAACUCUCCUGUUGCACACAGCAUUCCAGCUACAAUGACCACAGAAUCCCUAGGGACUUCAGGGCCUGGAUCUAGAGCAACAUAAAACCUUCGCAGCAAACCUAGAGCCAGGUCAGAGUCACUCAGGGCCGGUACGAACUCCAGAACCCAGAGCCUGACCAGAGCAUCCAGCACUGGUGGUAACUCCAGAACCCAGAGCCUGACCGGAGCAUCCGGCACUGGUGGUAACUCCAGAACGCAGAGCCUAACCGGAGCAUCUGGCACCAGUAAUAACUCCAGAACGCAGAGCCAGGCCGGAGCAUCCGGCGCCAGUAUGAACUCCAGAACGCAGAGCCUGACCGGAGCAUCCGGCACCGGUAAUAACUCCAGAACGCAGAGCCUGACCGGAGCAUCCGGCACCGGUAAUAACUCCAGAACGCAGAGCCUGACUGGAGCAUCCGGCACCGGUACGAACUCCAGAACCCAGAGCCUGACCGGAGCCUCCAGCACCAGUAAUAACUCCAGAACGCAGAGCCUGACCGGAGCAUCCGGCACCGGUAAUAACUCCAGAACCCAGAGCCAGGCCGGAGCGUCCGGCACCGGUACGAACUCCAGAACCCAGAGCCAGGUCACAGUCUCUCAGUAACAGUAUGUGCUCAAGACUCUGGUGAGGUGUCUCCCUGAUCGCAGCAGACCCGGGUUCGAUUGAUGAUUUUGCAUCCACCUCACAGAGAAGUUGGAAUUCCUGCAUAGAGCCUGGUCAGAUCCUCCACCCCAGAGGUCACGGCAGAGUCCUGGGAGAAGCACUGUGAGUCCCACCCAGCCAGGCCAGGGAGUUGGAGUGGGGUUAACGGGA